CUGAAUUUCUUGAAACUCCUCCUCUUUCAAUGCCCACGUUUCCCCAUCCUCUGCAAUCAGACACUUACCGCAUGAGGAGAUUCAUAGUGUAGGCACAUGAAGCGUGACCAGAAGACCAGGGCUCAUAUGUAGCCAUGCAGCAGGAUAACAGCUGAUGAAAGAGAGCGUGCUGAGUAUUCCCGAAGAUACAGUAGAAGAAAGACAGAGAUACAUGAGACAUUCCAGCUGAGAGACAGACUUCCUACCGUGGCAAAGCCAACCUGAGGUCUUGUGUGACCCCCAGUGUAAUGACUGGAUCCUGAGGCUAGAUCAGAAGACCAAGUGCUGACAGAAGCACAUCAGGGGAGAAAAUGGAGUGUCCUGGUGUUGCUCACAGUGAAGAUAUUUUGGAAAGGGAAUCUGUUUUUGUUGUAGAAGUCUAGCUGGUAUUUCAAACAUUUUCCCUUAGUAAAACAUUGUCUACUAAAAAGAAAUCUGUACAGGAUUCUGAGAAACUUGAAUUGUAGUCCCAAUUCUCUAACAGAAUUGAUUGUGACACUGAAGAAAUAUUCUUCUUCUUUGGGCUGUCUUAAUUUGGAAAAAUUAAUGACUCAAUAGUCAUUCUCUGUUUUGUAUCUGCUCAUUAUGUGUCAUUGGAAUAAUCCCACAACAUUUUCAGGCCUUUUGUUUUUUAUCACUAAAUUUGAAAUGGCAUCAUGUGAUUUCUAUCCUCAAAAAACUUACGGUUGUGCAAAAAGUAAUAUUCAUGAAAUUAAAAAUAUAAGCACCACAAAUAAUCACCCCCAUUUUUUUGCAACCUCUUUAUCAUCUAACAACCUUCUGGAGCAAAUAGAGUGCAAUUACCAUUGGCACUCUUAAUCAAUAGGAAGACAAGGUCUAGAGAAGUAAACUGAUGUCAUCUACAUCACAGAGUAUGUUAAUUUCACAACUGAAAUAAGGGGUCCUGAUUUAUGUGUCCUGAUUCAGAUUUUUCAAGUUUUACUUCACCCAAAUAUGCAUAAAUGUGACCAAUAUCUGAAUUCUUAGAUAUUUCUUUCAAAUAAGCCACUUUUUCUAAUAUCAAUUCAUAAGGCUGCAAUUAAUUUAUUAGUUAAUGAAUAUCAAAGAGAUAAAGAGAAUUGAGGAGCCCCUCUUAUUUGGACAGAGAUUUUCACUGAUGACACCAAAGAGUCUUGGUCUCAACCUUGACACGAGCCUCGACACUAGGGGAAAGAGGCUUGGAUGGUAGAGGGCGGAGAGCGACAAUUAUUACCAUCUUCCCUUCCCCUCUCUUCCCAGCCUAUUCUUGCCCCUGAAGGAAGUUUUUAAGUGGUUAUUAUAAUAUAGUGGUAUUCUGUGAUAUUCUGGGUUGUGAAGAGCAGAAAAACUGUGGUUACAGAAGAGUUGGAUUUAUUUCCCCUGAGAAGCAAGGGGAUAAGGAUAUUGAGGGGGUGCCACCCUGGUACACAAUGGGCGCAUCCACCCAAAUGUCCCAGGGUCUUGUCCUUGAGUCCCCCUCUCUGACCUAGACCUCAGUUAUUUAACCCUGUGUUCUUUCAUUGAACACAGUUGUUGGAAUCUGAUUUCAAGACCGAACCUCUGUGGUAGACACACACUUGCAGACGGGGCAUACUGAGGUUGGAGCUAUGUGAGAGGUGUCCUGAGAGUGAGGCUCUGGGGACAGAGGGUGGUCGAGUGACAGCUUGUGCAGGAGGUAUGAAUCUGAAUACACAGUGUGACUAAAGGAGGUAAAAGCUGUGUUUCUGUGCAAGUUUGGGUGGGUGUGGGAUGAGGGAGCAGAGGGGGCUGAAUGUGUAAUCUGGAUUGAAAUAGCUGAUCUUUCUCUCACCUGAGUUUUCUGGGCUCAGUGAAUGUCUUCGGUUCAGCUCUAUGGCCCAGCCUCCUCUGGUCAACGGGCUUGAUAAGUGAGCUUAUUUAUUGACUCUGUCUGUGAUGCUCAGGAGUGUAAAGCAAAGUGGCGACCUCCAGGGACUUGGUCCAUGAAACACACUUUGAGAAAGAGAACAAGAAGGGGGGGGUGGUAAAAUGAGGAAGAAAUAAGGAAGGAGAAUCUUCUUUGAUGACUUUGCCAGGAAAGUGGAAAUGAAACAUCCGGUAUACUUUGUUUUAUGUUUUAUCCUUUCCUCUCAUCUCUCUGUUUCUCUUUUCUUCCUUGUCACUUCCUUUCUUUUCUUCUCUUUGCUUCUGUCCUCCUGGAACUCUUCUCACUGUGAACCCACCAGAAUUCUAUGCUCAUAGGCAGGAAAUAAUGGUAGUGGACAAGUGCAUACAUCGUUGUACUGUAGGCUUCACUUACAAAGUGAUCUUACAAAGUGAACACAAGUUCAAAUAUCAAAUUACCAAGAAUUUCAAUAUGAUGACAGCAGAGCUUUAAGGAAAGCACAAGGACCUUCUGAGCAUGGGCACCAUGUAACUGUCCUGCUUGUUUGCCAUGAAGCAGACCUGGUUGGAAAUGACAUCAGUGCCCUAGGUAGAUCCCCUCAGCUCCCUAACUCCAGCCAUCUCUCUGGUCCCUGCACCAGGGAUUCCUGGCAUCAAAACCCUUUGCAGAAUAGGUGAUUUUUCUUCCAUGACUUCAGAGUACUCACCUCUCUUAUUUUGUAAUAUACAUAUCUCCUUUCAAAUUAUUGUAAUCUAACAUUCAUUCAAACGUUGCAUGUGGGUAUAUCCUAAAAGAAUUUUCAAAUCACUAUAUUCUCUUCAAAACUUUAAAAGGACUCUAAGAACUUUCAUUAAAAGUGUAAAGAGCAGAAAAAGACCUAAUUUCUAGUAUUUUGUGAAUAUUGACAUUAGAAAUAAAACUCCCAUAGGACAGUUUUUAAUUUAUUUUAUGGAAAUUGUAUGCCCUAGAAAUUUCCAAUUCAGCAAUGCCCAUUUAAAAGUAUUUGAGCAAGAUUUUCUUAAUUUUCAGAAAUUCAAAAAUAUUGCUCUCUCUCUUUAAAGUUGGUCUGUAUUCCCACAUGUAUAUUUUUGCUUGAAUA